rnacentral:rRNA from 1 species
CCCGGCCACCCUGGGGAUUGAGACACGGCCCCAGACUCCUACCGGGAGGCAGCAGUGGGGAAUAUUGCCCAAUGGGCGAAAGCCUGAUGCAGCGACGCCGCGUGAGGGAUGACGGCCUUCGGGGUUGUAAACCUCUUUCAGCAGGGAAGAAGCGAAAGUGACGGUACCUGCAGAAGAAGCGCCGGCUAACUACGUGCCAGCAGCCGCGGUAAUACGUAGGGCGCGAGCGUUGUCCGGAAUUAUUGGGCGUAAAGAGCUCGUAGGCGGCUUGUCACGUCGGUUGUGAAAGCCCGGGGCUUAACCCCGGGUCUGCAGUCGAUACGGGCAGGCUAGAGUUCGGUAGGGGAGAUCGGAAUUCCUGGUGUAGCGGUGAAAUGCGCAGAUAUCAGGAGGAACACCGGUGGCGAAGGCGGAUCUCUGGGCCGAUACUGACGCUGAGGAGCGAAAGCGUGGGGAGCGAACAGGAUUAGAUACCCUGGUAGUCCACGCCGUAAACGGUGGGCACUAGGUGUGGGCGACAUUCCACGUCGUCCGUGCCGCAGCUAACGCAUUAAGUGCCCCGCCUGGGGAGUACGGCCGCAAGGCUAAAACUCAAAGGAAUUGACGGGGGCCCGCACAAGCGGCGGAGCAUGUGGCUUAAUUCGACGCAACGCGAAGAACCUUACCAAGGCUUGACAUACACCGGAAACGUCCAGAGAUGGGCGCCCCCUUGUGGUCGGUGUACAGGUGGUGCAUGGCUGUCGUCAGCUCGUGUCGUGAGAUGUUGGGUUAAGUCCCGCAACGAGCGCAACCCUUGUCCCGUGUUGCCAGCAAGCCCUUCGGGGUGUUGGGGACUCACGGGAGACCGCCGGGGUCAACUCGGAGGAAGGUGGGGACGACGUCAAGUCAUCAUGCCCCUUAUGUCUUGGGCUGCACACGUGCUACAAUGGCCGGUACAAUGAGCUGCGAUACCGCGAGGUGGAGCGAAUCUCAAAAAGCCGGUCUCAGUUCGGAUUGGGGUCUGCAACUCGACCCCAUGAAGUCGGAGUCGCUAGUAAUCGCAGAUCAGCAUUGCUGCGGUGAAUACGUUCCCGGGCCUUGUACACACCGCCCGUCACGUCACGAAAGUCGGUAACACCCGAAGCCGGGCUUGAGUUUGAUCCUGGCUCAGGUCGAUCGCUGUAUGUCUCCCCCCCGAUUU